rnacentral:rRNA from 1 species
GAUGAACGCUGGCGGCGUGCCUAAUACAUGCAAGUCGAGCGAACGGACGAGAAGCUUGCUUCUCUGAUGUUAGCGGCGGACGGGUGAGUAACACGUGGAUAAGCUACCUAUAAGACUGGGAUAACUUCGGGAAACCGGAGCUAAUACCGGAUGAUAUUUUGAACCGCAUGGUUCAAAAGUGAAAGACGGUCUUGCUGUCACUUAUAGAUGGAUCCGCGCUGCAUUAGCUAGUUGGUAAGGUAACGGCUUACCAAGGCAACGAUGCAUAGCCGACCUGAGAGGGUGAUCGGCCACACUGGAACUGAGACACGGUCCAGACUCCUACGGGAGGCAGCAGUAGGGAAUCUUCCGCAAUAGGCGAAAGCCUGACGGAGCAACGCCGCGUGAGUGAUGAAGGUCUUCGGAUCGUAAAACUCUGUUAUUAGGGAAGAACAUAUGUGUAAGUAACUGUGCACAUCUUGACGGUACCUAAUCAGAAAGCCACGGCUAACUACGUG